UACAGGGGGGGCAAGCGUUGUUCGGAAUUACUGGGCGUAAAGGGUUCGUAGGUGGCCACUUAAGUCAGACGUGAAAUCCCUCAGCUUAACUGGGGAACUGCGUCUGAUACUGCGUGGCUUGAGUGCAGGAGAGGAAUGCGGAAUUCCAGGUGUAGCGGUGAAAUGCGUAGAUAUUGGGAGGAACACCAGUGGCGAAGGCGGCUCACUGGACUGGUACUGACGCUGAGGCGCGAAAGCUAGGGUAGCAAACGGG
rnacentral:rRNA from 1 species